GAACAAGUCUCAGUUCGGAUUGAAGGCUGAAAUUCGCCUUCCAUGAAGCCGGAAUUGCUAGUAAUGGCAGGUCAGCAUACUGCCGUGAAUACGUUCCCGGGCCUUGUACACACCGCCCGUCACACCAUGAGAGUUGGGAAUACCCGAAGCCUGUGAGCUAACUUUUAGAGGCAGCAGUCGAAGGUAGAAUCAAUGAUUGGGGUGAAGUCGUAACAAGGUAUC
rnacentral:rRNA from 1 species